UUCAAUACUGCCCAUUUAAACGCGCAGUGUGCACUUUUCUCUUAGUAAGACGCCGUGAUCCAUUAGAAAUUGGUGCAUUCAAGAUGUACAGUAGGUCAUCAAUAGGCUAGUGUGAAGUUUAUUUGGAACAAAUGGCAUGAUCUUUUAACGGUCGUGUGUAUUGUCUGGUAAGCACAUUAUGUCCCUGUAAUGACUGUCUGAUGGAUUUUAAAGAUUAUAUUAUUAAUGCCUCGUGCAUUAUGCACUGUAAAGUGUAAAUUUAUGAUAUGUAUCUGAUCAACGGCGGUUAAAUUUGGGAUACCUUUUGGACCCGUCUUGAAACACGGACCAAGGAGUCUAUCUAGUAUGCGAGUAAAUGGGUAGUUUAUGAAACCUAUUUGCAUAAUAAACUUGACUGUUUUUAAUGGGAUUACAUGGUUAAAAAUUCGGUUAAACGAAUUGGCCAUUUCCAUCCCGGAGUAUUUUUAUCAACAUAUAUGUAUGUAUAUGGAAAAUAUAUCAUGAGCACACUGGAUACGACCCGAAAGAUGGUGAACUAUGCCUGAUCAGGUUGAAGUCAGGGGAAACCCUGAUGGAGGACCGAAGCAGUUCUGACGUGCAAAUCG
rnacentral:rRNA from 1 species